CUACAGCCCAGCCGCUUCACUUGCCAGUGUAUCCUCCUUUACGCCUGAAGGCAACAUGGCAGCAACAGCCUAUGAGCGCUACCAAAAGGAUCCUGAUGGAGGAUGGAUUUGGGGCAAUAGCAUCAGCAUGAACAAUGAAACCAAUGAUGCUCUCAGGGCCGUCGUACACGCCCGCAAGCGUACGGCAUUCGCCUACAGCAUGGAGGACCUGCCUGGCUAUCACGGUGAUUUGGGGCCCUUUAGGCUGGAUCUGGACACCGACAAACCGAUUGUCCAGCCUCCUCGACGCUAUAGCCCCAAGGAGCGCGAGGUAAUCGCCGAAAAGACAGCCGAGCUUG
rnacentral:lncRNA from 1 species